GGCUUUAUAAGCGGCCGCUGAGCGGUGUCGCGCCUUUUCGUCCUGUGCCUUUGGAGCGAGUGAGGCUACCAUGGAGGCGGCAGCGACACCGCGACCCCGCCGGCAGCGCCGGGACCCCGCCGGGACCGCGGAAACCCCUCCCCGCAGAAAGAUGUCUUGAAGUAAAGAAGCUGGGCUUUCCACCUGCGUGUGACACAGCAGGGCUGGGAGCAGCUGGGGAGUGGCCCUGAUGUGAAGGUAGAGCCUGCAGGUCUCUGCUGCCACGUGCUGGUGGCUGAUGUCCCCCCACUGAUGGGACAGCUCUUCCCAAGUCCUGUGGAGGGCACUGAGUCAGCGGAGCAGGAGAAGCUGCUGGGUGGUGCUGCUGCAAACAUCUCUGAGGCAGAAGGACUCCAACAAAACACCUGGCCUUGAGGAUUUUGUGUAGACAGAACAUUUUUCUGCCUGUUACAAAGUGAGCAGGAGGAGGAGCUGUUAAUUUUCCAAGUCUCCUUCAUCUCAGAGAAGUGAGGUACAAAGGAGCUGCUGUUUUCCAGCAUUGGUGUCAUGCAAGCAAAGUGUCACAGGCACCUCCCCACCAGCCUGUUUGCUGCUGUGCUUUGGAGGAAGAUGCUCUCUGCUUGAAGGAGGUGAAAUAAAGCUUCAGUGUCAGGGCCAGGCUGUUUGGAAAUGCAAAACAGGAGCUGCAUCAAGGGCAGGGAUUUCAAAGGUGCUGCUUUUAUGUUUCAGAAAGGUCUUUGGAGAUGACAGCAACAACGUGGUGUCACCUGGCAACAGGUCAGAGGCUGGAGCUGAGACAAAAGAAGGGUUUCAGGGAGGAGAACAGGGCUGAAAAAUCACCAACACUAGAAUGGUUUGAAGAAUGGAUGUGACACCAGGGUGAGGGGACAGCUCUGGGCCGGUGGCUGCCCUUGCCCUGGAAAUUCAGCCCAUUUUGGGGGUUGGCACAGAAAAAAAGGACAAUAUUGGCAUUUCAGCCCCCAGCUCUGCUGUUUCUGUGCCUGUGGUGGAGGGGAGCUCUGAGCCUGCAGGAAAGCCCAGCUUGGGGAAAUGCUGAGCCUUGGAAUUGAUCAUUUAACGAGCAGCUGCUGUUGGAAAUCAUCUCCCAGGCACAGGAAAACCCCACUGCCCUUGGAGUGGAGGAAAAGUGGGAUCAAGGAUUCCAUCCUUGUACCAGAGAGGUCUGGAGGAGAUUUCAUCUGUUGCUCACCCAGGAACAUUUCACUGCAGAGCCCCCUGAAGAAACAAGACCAGCAGCUCUCAGCACUGCCUUGUCUUCUGCUUUUUCCUGGGCAUUCAACCUGGACAGAGGGAAAAUUCAACACUGGGUCUUUAUUAAACAUUAUCAUUUAUUUUGUUUA